GGGGCCGCACGGCGGUGGGGGAGGAGGAGACCACGCGGCGACGGGGGCGUAGUAGGUCGUGCUCCGGUGGGGGAGGAGGAGGUCGCGCGGUGCCGGGGACGGAGGUCGCGAGUCUAGACGCCCUAGGCCGCUAAAGAGUGCCGCCACGACGAGGCCACUCGGAGGCAGGGGUUCGCGCUGCGUCUUUUGCCGGAGGAGGGAUAGCAAGGAGGAGGUAGGGGGCUCUUGUCGCGUAGGCGCUACCGGAGGAGAGAGGGCAGGGGAAGAGACGCGACCAUCCGCAAACACUUCAAGCUGUACCGGUCGGCGCACUCAAACUAAGGCGACGCGGGACACGGGGAUGGGACGGAGGUGGGUGGUCUCGUCCGGUUCGAGGCUCGGUGGUGGACGCGUGCCUACGGCGGCACUGGGAGGACGGGGUUAGGGUGGCCCGCCGCGGUGGUCGUUGGGGAGGGGUUGUUGUACAGUCUAGGUCGCGGCCACAGUCCGUGGGGAGAAGGAAGUGCAGGUGGACGAGGCUACCGAGCGGGGAUGGGUGGGGCCCGAAGCCGAAGGCUACUUCGGGGCUGGUACAACAACCACCGUCUACGAGGUCGCCGUCCGAGUGAGGGGUACCACACUAACUUGAAGUCACGUCCCCCUCAUCUUGGCGACCUCUACGAGCACAGUUAAGGAAGGUCGCUGGAAACAGGUGUGGAGCAGUGACCGCACUCCAUAUAUAUAUAAGUCGCAGUCUAAGUUUUUCAAGUCGAAGCGGGGACCAACUUCAAGUAAACAGUGACUUCGAAUACAACAAGUACUGGCGCACCGACAUCUUGUAGGUACGUACAGCUCAUUAAAAGAGUACGGUCAAGUAAAUGUUAUCGUCGAGGUCACACCGUCAUCCGCUACCACUUUUGACUUCAGACUUUGCUCACAACGACCCAUGUAGACCGUCGUAUAUAAGACUUCAAACAACCACUUUUUGUUUACGAUCUUGUAGUCAACCACAGUAACCCCAGCACGGCCGUUCGUCGUAAGAGGGGGACCCACAUGAGAGAGACAGAGAAAGAGAAACGUUAAGAUUAGAUAAACAUCUAAGAUAGAGUGUAUGGACUGGUAUCAUCGUCUGAUCAUCACAACAUACCAGUCGACGCAUUCCCUCAAACACCUCACGUGAUGAUACAGAUCAACUUGAGUGUAACUAAUGAAAAUAUUCAGAUUUGAUGAAAACCUUUAAACUC
rnacentral:rRNA from 1 species